GGCCGACUAGCUCAGCUGGUUAGAGCGUCGUGCUAAUAUUCUCGUAAUAUAUUGACGCGAAGGUCUUGGGUUCGAUCCCCACGUUGGCCA
rnacentral:tRNA from 1 species